rnacentral:rRNA from 1 species
GAUGAACGCUGGCGGCGUGCCUAAUACAUGCAAGUCGAGCGAACAGACGAGGAGCUUGCUCCUCUGACGUUAGCGGCGGACGGGUGAGUAACACGUGGAUAACCUACCUAUAAGACUGGGAUAACUUCGGGAAGCCGGAGCUAAUACCGGAUAACAUGUUGAACCGCAUGGUUCAACAGUGAAAGACGGUUUUGCUGUCACUUAUAGAUGGAUCCGCGCCGCAUUAGCUAGUUGGUAAGGUAACGGCUUACCAAGGCAACGAUGCGUAGCCGACCUGAGAGGGUGAUCGGCCACACUGGAACUGAGACACGGUCCAGACUCCUACGGGAGGCAGCAGUAGGGAAUCUUCCGCAAUGGGCGAAAGCCUGACGGAGCAACGCCGCGUGAGUGAAGAAGGUCUUCGGAUCGUAAAACUCUGUUAUUAGGGAAGAACAAAUGUGUAAGUAACUAUGCACGUCUUGACGGUACCUAACCAGAAAGCCACGGCUAACUACGUG